UACGUAGGCAGCGAGCGUUGUUCGGAGUUACUGGGCGUAAAGGGUGCGUAGGCGGCUUUUUAAGUUUGGUGUGAAAUCUCCCGGCUCGACUGGGAGGGUGCGCCGAAUACUGAGAGGCUAGAGUGUGGGAGAGGAAAGUGGAAUUCCUGGUGUAGCGGUGAAAUGCGUAGAUAUCAGGAGGAACACCGGUGGUGUAAACGGCUUUCUGGACCAUAACUGACGCUGAGGCACGAAAGCGUGGGUAGCAAACAGG
rnacentral:rRNA from 1 species